rnacentral:lncRNA from 1 species
AUAUGGAUCUAAUGGGAGUCCUAAGUAUUAGGAGUUGGGUCUUCUGNAGUCUCCAAGGCUUACUCCGGAGGCGCAUCAUCACCUACUACUCACAUCCAAGGGAUUGGAUGAUCAUCGCAAGGGAGAAAGGCAAGCACAUACAACAAACAAAUGCAAAGGUAAGCUAGGUAUAUAUAAAAAAAAAGCAUGUUACUAAUCAAGUAUUUCAAGCAUGUAAUGACAAUAACACAACACAAAUUGUAACUGAAUGCAUUUUAUUGAUACCAAGGACCGACCACGUGAUUUGACCGUCCGGACUAGUAUGAAAUGUCGAGUUCCAGGGGUUUGUGCACUUGUGGUGGCCCUACUGCUUUGCAAAGCCAUUGCCGAGGGGUUUCACNCGACCACACACAAGUGUAAGUCCAACCAAACUCAUCUUGGCCNAUAUAAAAUGGAGACACCCAAAACUAGGACCUCCUCCUAUUCUCACCACAUGACUCAUCACUCUCUAAUUGAGCAUGGAUGGUCAUUAGAAUGUCAAGGUAAACCCCAUCCUGAACUCCGGCCAUUCAUACGGUNAAUCACGAUAAACUAUAGUGGCACCACCAUGUAACCUCCCUUGAGGAUCAUGGAAUUACGUCCAAUAACCAUACUUUUACUUUGAAACUUAACUCAACACAUGAACCACCAAAUACCAUGACAUUAUCUCACUGAAUCAAUAUAAAACCAUGUACAUGUAACCCUUCAACUUUACUUUGCAUACAAACAUAUAUAUAACAUUAAUUUCACUUCAAAAAAACCACAAACAAUCCAAAAUCCAAUGAACUCAUACUUAGACAAGGAAAAUGACUUUGAAACCAUCACCAACAGUUCUGGAAGGGUCUAAAACCCCCAGAACGACCUAAAGAAUGUCCAAAACGGACAUCCGGAACCCUCCAAACUAUCAAAAAUAAAAGCAACAGCAGAAAAGGGCGCCCAACGCCCUUUUGGGGCGCCCAUGCGCCAUAUUUCUGGCAAAUGCCGAAUCAAAGGGCACCCAGCGCCCUUCAGGGGCGCCCAGGCGUGAACUCUGCAGAUUUUUCUGUAGAAUUUGCAGUUUUGGAAGAACUCACACUCCUAAGUUUCGUUUUAGGCCUUUUGGUGAACUUUGGACACUCCUAACUCGAAAUACAAGUUGAAUCUAACUUGUUUGAAGUCUCACACACCAUCCUAACUCAAAACUCUAAGAGAUAUGCAAGGAAAUUNGAUCUAAAACUCUAAUAUGAUUCACCUAGGAGCUCAAUCUGAAUUCUACCACUUAGAAACCAUUUUAGGCCAAUUAUACACUUCCUAUAAGUCACAAUUGACUUUACUAAGCUAUCCCAAACACCUAUUUCAGACCCGGAUCCCNAUUUUUAAAAUUCACUACCUAAGUUCCUUAUUUUUAACUCAAACGCUAAAAAUUAACUUAGUCAUUUUACUUACAACCUGCAUAAACUAAAUUCUCAACCCUCAACAAUGAAAUCCACAUAAUCAUACAGUUCACAAAUAGUAGCAGAUCAGUUCAUACCAAACACACAUCAUAAAACAUAAAUUUCAAAACAUGNUCUUUUACAAUUCAGUCCAAAUUAACGAAACUUUUCACCCAAUUUAUACCUACAUCAGAUUUUAAUANUUCUACUUGAAUAUCAAACUAAAAACAGAGUAAAUUUUCAAACAAGAAGUUAGAAUCCAACUUCCCUUACCUCUNAGUCGAACAACUCAACUCUUAAGAAGAUCAAUCGAACCUUACUCCUCAGGAAACGCUAAAGAUGCCUAUGGACCACCAAUUGGUGAUAGAAAUAAGUAUUUAUAAUGUGAAUUGAGCUAGAAUUUGAGGAAACAGGUACAAUGAGCUACAUGCAACGAGGUUGCUACAUGAUCACAGCUCCAAGAUGAAAGGAAAGGGGGAGAACGCUUACCGGAUGGAAAUACCAAAUUGAUCGAUAUAUUUGAGACCCGCAACACCCGAAUUUACCUAAGCUUCCCCUGAUUAUGAGUGGAUGGUAGGAAUUCUAGAGAGAUGGUAGAGAAGGUUUUAGAAUCAGAGUUUUAGAGAGAUGAGGGAUUUUAAGCAAAUGGGUCAAAUGUGUUUUUAAAAGACUUUCAUUUUUAUGUUGCUGAUAUGUUUUAAAAAUAUGGUCCCAUUGACUUAGUACCCUUAUUACUCUUAAGUCCUAAUUUCUAGGUUAUUACA